rnacentral:rRNA from 1 species
AAAAAUUUAAUUUUAAAAUAAUAGAGUAGUAUUAGUUAUAUUCUUAAAACUUAAUAAAUUUGGCGGUAUUUUAAUCUAUUCAGAGGAACUUGUUUUAUAAUUGAUAAUCCUCAUUAAAUCUUACUUAAUUUUAUUUAAUUUGUAUACCGUCGUCAUAAGAAUUUCUUAAAAAAGUAAAAAUUUUCUAAAAUUUUUAUUAAUAAUAAUGUCAGAUUAAGGUGCAGUUUAUAGUUAAGAAAAAAUGAGUUACAAUAAAAUUAUUUAUUAAUGGAUUAAAUAAUUAAAUUUAUUUAUGAAGGUGGAUUUGAUAGUAAAAUAAAUUAAAAAAUUUGUUUGAUAUUAGUUCUAAAAUAUGU